rnacentral:rRNA from 1 species
CAGCCGCCACGGUAAAACGUAGGGUGCAAGCGUUAAUCGGAAUUACUGGGCGUAAAGCGUGCGCAGGCGGUUAUAUAAGACAGAUGUGAAAUCCCCGGGCUCAACCUGGGAACUGCAUUUGUGACUGUAUAGCCAGAGUACGGCAGAGGGGGAUGGAAUUCCGCGUGUAGCAGUGAAAUGCGUAGAUAUGCGGAGGAACACCGAUGGCGAAGGCAAUCCCCUGGGCCUGUACUGACGCUCAUGCACGAAAGCGUGGGGAGCAAACAGGAUUAGAUACCCGCGUAGUCCCUGUCUCUUAUAC